UACGUAGGGUGCAAGCGUUGUCCGGAUUUAUUGGGUUUAAAGGGUGCGUAGGCGGCCCGUUAAGUCAGCGGUGAAAUCCCACGGCUCAACCGUGGAACUGCCGUUGAUACUGGCGGGCUUGAGUUCGGUCGAGGCGGGCGGAACUGGUGGUGUAGCGGUGAAAUGCUUAGAUACCACCAAGAACCCCGAUUGCGUAGGCAGCUCGCUGGGCCGAAACUGACGCUGAGGCACGAAAGCGUGGGGAGCGAACAGG
rnacentral:rRNA from 1 species